rnacentral:pre_miRNA from 1 species
GAAGCUUUUAAGUACCCUCAAAGGCUUCCAAUAGUCCACGUUAGCAUCAACUUGGGGAUGUCUAUGGGGAACAUUGGAAGUCUUUGAGGCUAUAUUAAAGGCUU